rnacentral:rRNA from 1 species
UCCCCUGAUUCCGGUUGAUCCUGCCGGACCCGAUCGCUAUCGGGGUAGGGCUAAGCCAUGGGAGUCGUACAUCCCGCAAGGGGUGUGGCGGACUGCUGAGUAACACGUGGUCAACCUAACCUAGGGAAGGGAAUAACCCCGGGAAACUGGGGAUAAUUCCCUAUAGCUGAGGAGUCCUGGAACGGUUCCUCGGCGAAAGCCCGCAAGGGCGCCCUAGGAUGGGACUGCGGCCCAUCAGGUAGUUGGGGGGUUAAAGGCCCUCCAAGCCGAUAACGGGUAGGGGCCCUGGGAGGGGGAGCCCCCAGAUGGGCACUGAGACAAUGGCCCAGGUCCUACGGGGCGCACCAGGCGCGCAACGUCUUCAAUGCACGAAAGUGUGAAAGCGCUACCCCGAGUGCCCCUUUGGGGCUUUUCUACGCUCUAAAAAGGCGUGGGAAUAAGCGGAGGGCAAGACUGGUGUCAGCCGCCGCGGUAAUACCAGCUCCGCGAGUGAUCGGGACUCUUAUUGGGCCUAAAGCGCCCGUAGCCGGCUCUGUAAGUCACUGCUUAAAGACCCGAGCUCAACUCGGGGAAGGGUAGUGAUACUACAGAGCUAGGGGGCGGGAGAGGUCGGGGGUACUCCUAGAGUAGGGGCGAAAUCCGUAGAUCCUAGGAGGACCACCAGUGGCGGAGGCGCCCGGCUAGAACGCGCCCGACGGUGAGGGGCGAAAGCUGGGGUAGCAAAAGGGAUUAGAUACCCCUGUAGUCCCAGCUGUAAACGAUGCGGGCUAGGUGUCACGUGAGCUUAGAGCCCACGUGGUGCCGCAGGGAAGCCUUUAAGCCCGCCGCCUGGGGAAUACGGCCGCAAGGCUGAAACUUAAAGGAAUUGGCGGGGGAGCACCACAAGGGGUGGAACCUGCGGCUCAAUUGGAGUCAACGCCUGGAAUCUUACCGGGGGAGACCGCAGAAUGACGGCCAGGCUGAUGACCUUGCCAGACUCGCGGAGAGGAGGUGCAUGGCCGUCGCCAGCUCGUGUUGUGAAAUGUCCUGUUAAGUCAGGCAACGAGCGAGACCUCUACUCCUAGUUGGUAUCUGGGCCUCCGGGCUUGGACCACACUAGGAGGACUGCCAGUGUUAAACUGGAGGAAGGUAGAGGCCACGGCAGGUCAGCAUGCCCCGAAACUCCCGGGCCGCACGCGGGUUACAAUGGUAGGGACAGCGGGAUCCAAGUCCGAAAGGAGGAGGCAAUCCCUUAAACCCUGCCUCAGUUGGGAUCGAGGGCUGAAACUAGCCCUCGUGAACGAGGAAUCCCUAGUAACCGCACGUCAACAACGUGCGGUGAAUACGUCCCUGCUCCUUGCACACACCGCCCGUCGCUCCACCCGAGCGUAAGAGGCGUGAGGAUCCCUGCGAAAGUGGGGAUUCGAACUCCUCUUACGUGAGGGGGGAGAAGUCGUAACAAGGUAGCCGUAGGGGAACCUGCGGCUGGAUCACCUCAUAU